GUAAUAUAUAGUUAACGUGCCUCUUAGCCUGGGAUAGCCACUGGAAACGGUGAUUAAUACUGGAUACUCCUUCUAACUUAAUGUUAGUCGGGAAAGGUUUUUCGCUAAGAGAUCGGACUAUAUUGUAUCAGCUAGUUGGGGAGGUAAUGGCUCACCAAGGCAAUGACACAUAGCGGGUUUGAGAGGAUGAUCCGCCACACUGGUACUGAGACACGGACCAGACUCCUACGGGAGGCAGCAGUGAGGAAUAUUGCACAAUGGGGGAAACCCUGAUGCAGCAACGCCGCGUGGAGGAUGACGCAUUUCGGUGUGUAAACUCCUUUUAUAAGAGAAGAAAAUGACGGUAUCUUAUGAAUAAGUCCCGGCUAACUCCGUGCCAGCAGCCGCGGUAAUACGGAGGGGACAGGCGUUAUUCGGAAUCACUGGGCGUAAAGGACGCGUAGGCGGGUUAUUAAGUCGGGUGUGAAAUCCAAUGGCUCAACCAUUGAACUGCAUUCGAAACUGGUGACCUAGAGUAUGGAAGGGGCAGGUGGAAUUAGUGGUGUAGGGGUAAAAUCCGUAGAUAUCACUAGGAAUACCGAAAGCGAAGGCGACCUGCUGGGACAUUACUGACGCUGAGGCGUGAAAGCGUGGGGAGCAAACAGGAUUAGAUACCCUGGUAGUCCACGCCCUAAACGAUGAAUGCUAGUCGUCGGGGAGCUUGUCUCUUCGGUGAUGCACUUAACAGAUUAAGCAUUCCGCCUGGGGAGUACGGUCGCAAGAUUAAAACUCAAAGGAAUAGACGGGGACCCGCACAGGUGGUGGAGCAUGUGGUUUAAUUCGAAGAUACGCGAAAAACCUUACCUGGGCCUUGACAUUGAUAGAAUCCAGCAGAGAUGCAGGAGUGCCCUUCGGGGAGCUUGAAAACAGGUGCUGCACGGCUGUCGUCAGCUCGUGUCGUGAGAUGUUGGGUUA
rnacentral:rRNA from 1 species